AUCUAACAAAGACAUUCCCCAAUGCCUUGGAGUUCAGCAAGGAGUAUAUAGCCAGUGGUAAAACAUGGAAAAUUGUAAGUUUGGGUACUUGCCCCUCUACCUCCGAGUGCAAAGUAUACAAUCCCGUUUGUGGUGUGAGUCCUGCCAACAAGUAUCAAACCUUUAUGAAUGCAUGUUUAAUGGAAGCUGAUCGGAAGCUAACUGGAACUGGCUGGGAAGUCGUUAAAUCGGG